CCUACGGGGGGCAGCAGUGGGGAAUAUUGGGCAAUGGAGGAAACUCUGACCCAGCAACGCCGCGUGAAUGAUGAAGGUCUUCGGAUUGUAAAGUUCUUUUCUACGGGAAGAAGAAAGUGACGGUACCUUAGGAAUAAGCCUCGGCUAACUACGUGCCAGCAGCCGCGGGAAUACGUAGGAGGCAAGCGUUAUCCGGAAUGACAGGGCGUAAAGGGUGCGUAGGUGGUUUGGCAAGUUGGUAGCGUAAUUCCGGGGCGCAACCACGGCACUACUACCAAAACUGUCGGACUUGGGUGCAGGAGGGGGAAAUGGAAUUCCGAGUGGAGCGGUGGAAUGCGUAGAUAGUAGGAAGAA
rnacentral:rRNA from 1 species